AAAGCAAUCAAGAAUCCUGUGUUAUGCAUGCUGCCUCAAGGGCGCUACUUACAGUUUUAUCACGAUGUAUCAGGAGAGGUGGGCAAACGCAGUAGGGCGCCACCUCUGAAAACUGUGCCAACUUUCUGAAAUUGUUUACACUUCUGCCGCUAGGUUCUCUAGUGUUAGUGGCCCUGAAAUUGGGCGCGAAUUAUCAGAAGUAAAGCGUCUGCCAUUGUUGAUAGUAGAUUCCAUUUCGAUGUUUCAUUUUAUAAUUUCGUUCUUUAACUUAGGGUGAUGUGUUUUUGAUAAAUCGUGUUGCGAAAUGGUGAAGUGUUUCGUGGUUGGAUGUUGUACGGGAUACAAAUCAGCAAAAGAAAAUGAUGCUAAGGUAUUUAAACCACAAAAAAAAGAAAGGCAAUUCAUUUUAUGGGGAAAGAAUCUUGAAAGAAGUGACAGAAAAUUUUCUAGAAAAGAUCAUGUGUGUUCUAGACAUUUUAAAGAAGAAUUCAUCAUCAAGAACUCUGUAAAUGGUGGUGCCCCAUUGAGUCGUUGGAAAUUGAGAGAUGAUGCCAUACCAACUCUUUUUCUUGGUUACAAAGAUGGGGUAGCCCCAAACAAAAAGUAUCGGAAACAAACAACCUCUCCAUUAUCAAACAAUGGAUGCCAUAAACAACCAGAAGAGAAACUUGAUGAUCGAACAACAUCUGAUGUGAAAAAUGCUGAAGUCACUCUUGCUGGAAAAUCUUGUCGAAACCCAACGUGAAGAAUUAAAAAUGUCAGGAAAAAUGUCACUGCUGCUUGCGAAAAGGCAAUAAGUAAUCAGUUUCUUGGGCUUAACGACCAGGUAUAUCAUCCUCCCAUUACUUUUUCCCUGUAUGACGAUUCCGUUUGUUAGAUUCCCCAAUGUUAACCAUAUUUCUCCCAAUGACCAACAAUAACGACAACACUACGUAUUUACAAUUUUUCUUAACAUUAACAAUUAUUCUUAAAAAAAUAAAUAAAUUGUAAUUGAUUUUACGU